rnacentral:rRNA from 1 species
AGCGGCAAGAGCUCAAAUUUGAAAUCUGGCCCCCUCGGGGUCCGAGUUGUAAUUUGGAGAGGAUGCUUCGGGUACGGCCCCCGUCUAAGUGCCCUGGAACGGGCCGUCAUAGAGGGUGAGAAUCCCGUCUGGGACGGGUGGCCGGGCCCGUGUGAAGCUCCUUCGACGAGUCGAGUUGUUUGGGAAUGCAGCUCUAAAUGGGUGGUAAAUUUCAUCUAAAGCUAAAUAUUGGCCGGAGACCGAUAGCGAACAAGUAGAGUGAUCGAAAGAUGAAAAGCACUUUGAAAAGAGAGUUAAACAGCACGUGAAAUUGUUGAAAGGGAAGCGCUUGCGACCAGACUCGCCCGGGGAGGCUCAGCCGGCACUCGUGCCGGUGCAUUCCCCCCCGGGCGGGCCAGCGUCGGUUCGGGCGGCCGGUCAAAGGCCCCUGGAAGGUGUCGCCCUCCGGGGCGUCUUAUAGCCAGGGGUGCCAUGCGGCCAGCCCGGACCGAGGAACGCGCUUCGGCUCGGACGCUGGCGUAAUGGUCGUAAGCGACCCGUCUUGAAACACGGACCAAGGAG